GACGAACGCUGGCGGCGUGCUUAACACAUGCAAGUCGAACGGAAAGGCCCUGCUUUUGUGGGGUGCUCGAGUGGCGAACGGGUGAGUAACACGUGAGUAACCUGCCCUUGACUUUGGGAUAACUUCAGGAAACUGGGGCUAAUACCGGAUAGGAGCUCCUGCUGCAUGGUGGGGGUUGGAAAGUUUCGGCGGUUGGGGAUAGACUCGCGGCUUAUCAGCUUGUUGGUGGGGUAGUGGCUUACCAAGGCUUUGACGGGUAGCCGGCAUGAGAGGGUGACCGGCCACAAUGGGACUGAGAGACGGACCAGACUCCUACGUGAGGCAGUAGUGGGGAAUAUUGCACAAUGGGCGGAAGCCUGAUGCAGCAACGCCGCGUGCGGGAUGACGUCCUACGGGUUGUAAACCGCUGUCUCCUGUGACGAAGCGUGAGUGACGGUAAUGGGUAAAGAAGCACCGGCUAACUACGUG
rnacentral:rRNA from 1 species